AGCAGCCGCGGUAAUUCCAGCUCCAAUAGCGUAUAUUAAAGUUGUUGCAGUUAAAAAGCUCGUAGUUGAAUUUCAGGCCUGGCUGGACGGUCCGCCCUUCGGGUGAGUACUGUCUGUGGUCGGGUCCUACCUUCUGGCGAAGCGUCAUGGCCUUAACCGGCCGUGGCGGGGAACCAGGACUUUUACUGUGAAAAAUUAGAGUGUUCAAAGCAGGCAAUCGCUUGGAUACAUUAGCAUGGAAUAAUGGAAUAGGACAAUGGUUCUAUUUGUUGGUUUCUAGGACCGUUGUAAUGAUUAAUAGGGAUAGUUGGGGGCAUUAGUAUUCAAUUGUCAGAGGUGAAAUUCUUGGAUUUAUUGAAGACUAACUACUGCGAAAGCAUUUGCCAAGGAUGUUUUCAUUAAUCAAGAACGAAAGUUAGGGGAUCGAAGACGAUCAGAUACCGUCGUAGUCUUAACCAUAAACUAUGACCGACU
rnacentral:rRNA from 1 species